ACGCUGGCGGCGUGCCUAAUACAUGCAAGUAGAACGCUGAAGGAGGAGCUUGCUUCUCCGGAUGAGUUGCGAACGGGUGAGUAACGCGUAGGUAACCUGCCUGGUAGCGGGGGAUAACUAUUGGAAACGAUAGCUAAUACCGCAUAAUAGUAGAUGUUGCAUGACAUUUGCUUAAAAGGUGCAAUUGCAUCACUACCAGAUGGACCUGCGUUGUAUUAGCUAGUUGGUGGGGUAACGGCUCACCAAGGCGACGAUACAUAGCCGACCUGAGAGGGUGAUCGGCCACACUGGGGCUGAGACACGGCCCAGACUCCUACGGGAGGCAGCAGUAGGGAAUCUUCGGCAAUGGACGGAAGUCUGACCGAGCAACGCCGCGUGAGUGAAGAAGGUUUUCGGAUCGUAAAGCUCUGUUGUAAGAGAAGAACGAGUGUGAGAGUGGAAAGUUCACACCGUGACGGUAUCUUACCAGAAAGGGACGGCUAACUACGUGCCAGCAGCCGCGGUAAUACGUAGGUCCCGAGCGUUGUCCGGAUUUAUUGGGCGUAAAGCGAGCGCAGGCGGUUAGAUAAGUCUGAAGUUAAAGGCUGUGGCUUAACCAUAGUACGCUUUGGAAACUGUUUAACUUGAGUGCAAGAGGGGAGAGUGGAAUUCCAUGUGUAGCGGUGAAAUGCGUAGAUAUAUGGAGGAACACCGGUGGCGAAAGCGGCUCUCUGGCUUGUAACUGACGCUGAGGCUCGAAAGCGUGGGGAGCAAACAGGAUUAGAUACCCUGGUAGUCCACGCCGUAAACGAUGAGUGCUAGGUGUUAGACCCUUUCCGGGGUUUAGUGCCGCAGCUAACGCAUUAAGCACUCCGCCUGGGGAGUACGACCGCAAGGUUGAAACUCAAAGGAAUUGACGGGGGCCCGCACAAGCGG
rnacentral:rRNA from 1 species